rnacentral:rRNA from 1 species
UACAGAGGGGGCAAGCGUUGUUCGGAAUUACUGGGCGUAAAGGGCGCGUAGGCGGGCUUUUAAGCCAGACGUGAAAUCCCCGGGCUUAACCUGGGAAUGGCGUUUGGGACUGGGAGUCUGGAGUACGGCAGAGGAGACUGGAAUUCCUGGUGUAGCAGUGAAAUGCGUAGAUAUCAGGAGGAACACCGAUGGCGAAGGCAGGUCUCUGGGCUGAUACUGACGCUCAUGCACGAAAGCGUGGGGAGCAAACAGG